CCUGAGAAACCCGAAAGAUCGAAUGGGGAGAUUCAUCGUCAGCGACGUCGGCUUUUCGGCGGUUCGCGAUGCGCGCGAGGCGUCCUUACGGGCGUCCGCGUCGCACGCGUCCGCCGUGUUUUCAUGCUCGGCGGCGUCGGCGUGCACUUCUCCCCUAGUAGGACGUCGCGACCCGUUGGGUGUCGGUCUACGGCCCGGAUUGUCGCCUGUCCCGUCGCUUCGGCGUCGCGGGGCAGACACCCGGUGUAGCCCGGCCGGCUGCCCGGCGGUACUCGCACGGUAUCUGGCCGCAAUCGAACUGCGUCUUAGGCCCGCCGCAAGCGCGGUCAGUGUAUACCCGGAGUGCGGACCUAGCGCCGUCCCCGGGCCUGGCUCGCUGUUCGCCGGCGGUGUCCUCUGACAGGCCGUAUCAGUCAUGAUAUGUGAUACCGGUCGGCGACGCUACUGCUUUGGGUACUUUCAGG
rnacentral:rRNA from 1 species